CUUUCGGAGCUGUGCGGCAUUCUGAGCAGGAAUGGCAGUGUGGACCUCUGUGAUGGGACAUCUUGUGGGAUCUCACAGCCAGUUCUGUGGCAAAGGAGGAUGAAGGCUUACGAGGACUCGUCAGGAAGCUGGAUAACAGAGCGAGCGCAAUGUGCUAGAAUAGAAGACCAGAAAAUGAAAUGGUGGAGUUUGAGGCUGGAUAGACAGUUUGAAAGGUACAAAUAAUGGUUUGAAUAAAGAAAGGGCUCCUGUGACAAGUGGACAUGCAGUGACUGCACCUUUGUUUCUGAGGUGCCUGGAUGGAGGCUCAAAUAGAAGAUGGUGUCAGAUAUAUUGUGUUAAAAUUUUACCAUUAAAGUGUAUUAUAACAUGAA
rnacentral:lncRNA from 1 species